rnacentral:rRNA from 1 species
UACGUAGGGUGCGAGCGUUGUCCGGAAUUAUUGGGCGUAAAGGGCGCGUAGGCGGCCUUCUAAGUCGAACGUGAAAUCCCUGGGCUCAACCCAGGAACUGCGUCCGAUACUGGAAGGCUUGAAUCCGGGAGAGGGAUGCGGAAUUCCAGGUGUAGCGGUGAAAUGCGUAGAUAUCUGGAGGAACACCGGUGGCGAAGGCGGCAUCCUGGACCGGUAUUGACGCUGAGGCGCGAAAGCCAGGGGAGCAAACGGG